rnacentral:rRNA from 1 species
CACGUAGGGCGCAAGCGUUGUCCGGAAUUAUUGGGCGUAAAGAGCUCGUAGGCGGUUUGUUGCGUCGGCUGUGAAAUCCCGAGGCUCAACCUCGGGUCUGCAGUCGAUACGAGCAAACUAGAGUGUUGCAGGGGAGACUGGAAUUCCUGGUGUAGCGGUGAAAUGCGCAGAUAUCAGGAGGAACACCGGUGGCGAAGGCGGGUCUCUGGGCAACAACUGACGCUGAGGAGCGAAAGCGUGGGGAGCGAACAGG